GAACAUCCUGGAACCUGAGCAGCUUGGACCUGGAAAGUGCAUUAGACAAAGGGCCCACCCGGGACUAUGCUCUGGCAGAACACCAGGCCACUUUGGCCUGGGAAAAGCAGGAGAUGCAUGGCUCAACUGGGACUGGGCAUUCAUAGAACACCCAGAAAUAUGAGCAGCUUGGGCCUUGGAAGUGCAGGAGACAAAGAACCCACCUGGGACUGUGCCCCAAACAGAGAACUGGGGAGUCUGGACUGCUUGGGCCUGGGAAGAGCAAGAGAUACAUGGUUCAACUGGGACUGGGCCUUCAUACAACACCUGGGAAUCUGAGCAGCUUGGACUUGGGAAGUGCAGGAGACACACGGCCAACCUGGGACUUCACGCCUAGCACAGGAUGGACCCUAGGUAGCUUGGGCCUGGGAAGUGCGUGAGAUCCAUGGCCCUUCUGUAACUGUGCCCUCAAGGGACACCCAGGAGCUUGAGUGGCUGGAUCUGAGAAGUGUACAUCACCUUGGACUUUGGCAGACCCUGUGCUGUCCAUUCACAACGGUCUCACGAAUUCCGCU
rnacentral:sRNA from 1 species